CAGAAUUACAGACCUGAGGAAUCACAGAUCUGAGGAAAAGGAGGGCACAGGCCACCACCUUCCCCACAUAACCGACGGGGGCUGUACAGUGCGUGCGUUUGCUGUCUCAGAACAGGAAAACUGGGGAUGAAUCUGUAAAAAACCAGGAUGACUGGCUCUUUCACUAUCACCGCACUGGACCGGAAGCUCCGCCCCCAAAUCCCAUCAUUUACUCACUUCCAAAGCAGUUUCUCCACAGGCUCUCACUGUUCAUAUUAGAUAGUUGUAAAAUACAAAAGAUGUCUAUUUUUUCACUGGUGACUAAAAUAAAUGUUUCUGAAGCACCAAGAAGAAGAUUUCGAAUAGAGGAUGCAAGCUACAAUGCUUCAAUCUGUAUUUUAUUUAAAACUCACUCAAAAAUAAAUCUGUCAUUGUUUACCACCA